GCAAGUCGAGGGGUAGAACACUUCGGUGUUUGAGACCGGCGCACGGGUGCGUAACGCGUAUGCAAUCUACCUUGUACAGGGGAAUAGCCCAGAGAAAUUUGGAUUAAUGCCCCAUAGUAUAUAACCUUCGCAUGUUGGUUAUAUUAAAGUUCCAACGGUACAAGAUGAGCAUGCGUCCCAUUAGUUAGUUGGUAAGGUAACGGCUUACCAAGACGAUGAUGGGUAGGGGUCCUGAGAGGGAGAUCCCCCACACUGGUACUGAGACACGGACCAGACUCCUACGGGAGGCAGCAGUGAGGAAUAUUGGUCAAUGGUCGCAAGACUGAACCAGCCAUGCCGCGUGCAGGAAGACGGUCCUAUGGAUUGUAAACUGCUUUUAUACAGGAAGAAACCCUCCCACGUGUGGGAGCUUGACGGUACUGUAGGAAUAAGGAUCGGCUAACUCCGUGCCAGCAGCCGCGGUAAUACGGAGGAUCCAAGCGUUAUCCGGAAUCAUUGGGUUUAAAGGGUCCGUAGGCGGUCUUAUAAGUCAGUGGUGAAAGCCCAUCGCUCAACGAUGGAACUGCCAUUGAUACUGUAAGACUUGAAUGCUUAGGAAGUAACUAGAAUAUGUAGUGUAGCGGUGAAAUGCUUAGAUAUUACAUGGAAUACCAAUUGCGAAGGCAGGUUACUACUAAGUGAUUGACGCUGAUGGACGAAAGCGUGGGGAGCGAACAGGAUUAGAUACCCUGGUAGUCCACGCCGUAAACGAUGGAUACUAGCUGUUCGGCGCAAGUUGAGUGGCUAAGCGAAAGUGAUAAGUAUCCCACCUGGGGAGUACGCACGCAAGUGUGAAACUCAAAGGAAUUGACGGGGGCCCGCACAAGCGGUGGAGCAUGUGGUUUAAUUCGAUGAUACGCGAGGAACCUUACCAGGGCUUAAAUGUAGAUUGACAGGACUGGAAACAGUUUUUUCUUCGGACAAUUUACAAGGUGCUGCAUGGUUGUCGUCAGCUCGUGCCGUGAGGUGUCAGGUUAAGUCCUAUAACGAGCGCAACCCCUGUCGUUAGUUGCCAGCGAGUCAUGUCGGGAACUCUAACGAGACUGCCAGUGUAAACUGUGAGGAAGGUGGGGAUGACGUCAAAUCAUCACGGCCCUUACGUCCUGGGCC
rnacentral:rRNA from 1 species